rnacentral:rRNA from 1 species
AGUGCGAGCUGAAUCCAACCCUGCCGCGUGUGUGAGAAGGCUUUCGGGUUGUAAAGCACUUUCAGCGAGGAAGAAGGCCUCUGGGUUAAUACCCCAGAGGAAGGACAUCACUCGCAGAAGAAGCACCGGCUAACUCCGUGCCAGCAGCCGCGGUAAUACGGAGGGUGCGAGCGUUAAUCGGAAUUACUGGGCGUAAAGCGCGCGUAGGUGGCUUGGCACGCCGGUUGUGAAAGCCCCGGGCUCAACCUGGGAACGGCAUCCGGAACGGCCAGGCUAGAGUGCAGGAGAGGAAGGUAGAAUUCCCGGUGUAGCGGUGAAAUGCGUAGAGAUCGGGAGGAAUACCAGUGGCGAAGGCGGCCUUCUGGCCUGACACUGACACUGAGGUGCGAAAGCGUGGGUAGCAAACAGGAUUAGAUACCCUGGUAGUCCACGCCGUAAACGAUGUCGACUAGCCGUUGGGACCUUUAAGGACUUAGUGGCGCAGUUAACGCGAUAAGUCGACCGCCUGGGGAGUACGGCCGCAAGGUUAAAACUCAAAUGAAUUGACGGGGGCCCGCACAAGCGGUGGAGCAUGUGGUUUAAUUCGAUGCAACGCGAAGAACCUUACCUACCCUUGACAUCCAGAGAACUUUCCAGAGAUGGAUUGGUGCCUUCGGAACUCUAGACAGUCU